rnacentral:rRNA from 1 species
GACGUAGGGGGCCAGCGUUGCUCGGAAUUACUGGGCGUAAAGGGUUCGUAGGCGGUGUGGCAAGUCGGUAGUGAAAUCUCCAGGCUUAACUUGGAGGCUGCUGCCGAAACUGCCGUGCUAGAGUACGGGAGAGGCGAGUGGAAUUCCGGGUGUAGCGGUGGAAUGCGUAGAGAUCCGGAAGAACACCGGAGGCGAAGGCGGCUUGCUGGGCGUAGUCUGACGCUGAGGCGCGAAAGCGUGGGGAGCGAACAGG